UACGUAGGGGGCUAGCGUUGUCCGGAAUCAUUGGGCGUAAAGCGCGUGUAGGCGGUUCGGUAAGUCCGCUGUGAAAGUCGGGGGCUCAACCCUCGAAUGCCGGUGGAUACUGUCGAACUAGAGUGCGGAAGAGGCGAGUGGAAUUCCUGGUGUAGCGGUGAAAUGCGCAGAUAUCGGGAGGAACACCAAUGGCGAAGGCAGCUCGCUGGGACGUUACUGACGCUGAGACGCGAAAGCGUGGGGAGCGAACAGG
rnacentral:rRNA from 1 species